GACGUAGGGCGCGAGCGUUGUCCGGAUUUAUUGGGCGUAAAGAGCUCGUAGGCGGCUUGUCGCGUCGACUGUGAAAACCCGGUGGCUCAACCAUGUGGUCUGCAGUCGAUACGGGCAGGCUAGAAUUCGGUAGGGGAGACUGGAAUUCCUGGUGUAGCGGUGGAAUGCGCAGAUAUCAGGAGGAACACCGAUGGCGAAGGCAGGUCUCUGGGCCACUACUGACGCUGAGAAGCGAAAGCAUGGGGAGCGAACAGG
rnacentral:rRNA from 1 species